rnacentral:lncRNA from 1 species
ACCACCUCGUUCAGAGUCUGAUCCUUCAGAGUCAUCAGAUUCUGAUCUUCUAGAAUCUAAGAUACUUUGCUUCUCCACAUAUGCUUUUAACAGGGUUUAUUCAGAGUUGAAUACUAAACUUAUAAUCCUGCACACUUGAACAUAUGUUAGUAUACCCAUUUGUUCUUUAAGUACUUUGUUAUCAUCAAAACCCAAAGGAUAUGAAC